rnacentral:lncRNA from 1 species
UCUAGGCCUGUCAGGAUGAGUCUUCAUAAUAGGAGGUAAAAUAUGUAUCUCAUCUGAUGUACUCUGACUCAACUCAAUAUCAAAAAUUAGAUUGAUAUAUUCUGCAUAUGUGGCUCUAUACAUGUCAGCUUCGAAAUAGUUAUCAGUGAAGUGAUAUAAAGAUCUACCAGCCUUCUCAAUGCAUGCACAUACAUGCUUAUAUGACAUCCGAAAGAUUCGCCAUUCAUCACAAGAGCAAGUGUAUUUCUGUAAGUCAACCUUACAUAAGUACUUUAUAUCUUGUACAUCGUAAAUCAUAAUGCUCGAUGUAAAGAUAGAUAACCUUCGAUCUUCUUCUGUAUUUUUUUGUAACACCUUUUUUGGAUCUGGGCAAAGAUGGGUUUGUAUAUUGUAACCU